UUGCAUUUGAAUCUUGUUGACUUCCUGUACACACACAAGCUUCUGGAAGGCUGAAAUUGCGCCAAAAAUCGUGAGAUGUUUGUGGUGUUUAGCUGGCUUAUUUGGAAUAUCUGUCCAAUUAAAAAAUGGCUCCAGCGGUUAGAAACCGGUGUUGGCGUGGCAGAAUGGCUUUAUGGAAACUUCAACCAUAUGAUAGCUUAAUUUUCUUCCACAAGGCUGUGAGACCAGUUUGCAGCCUUAGGUCAUGCUCCCCAUCAUAUGUCCCAUGCAAGCCGAACCCAGAACAUUCACGGUGAUGCUAAAGUUAUCAGAUCUACAGCACCAGUUGACAUACAGCCAACACUUAGUGUCUAGUUCAUUGUCAAAAGAAAUGUUUGUGUCUCCUUUGUUACAACAGAUCUUGCAAUGUGAAGCGAGGGGCCAUAAUGUAUAAAGAGAGGUCUUCACCUCCAACUGCGUCUGCUGAAGAAAUGCUUCUGCCCAAUCACUACACUACUGGCAAAUGAGAUCAGGUGUAGAAUGUUUGCAAAAACCUCACAUCCAGGCUGCAAGUUGAUUUUGUUUUAUAUACAGAUCUUCAAGCACUGGACAAAAUGUCUACAUGAAACAUUUCUCCGUUACAUCAGCCCAGGUGUUUUUAACAGCUGGAGUACUUGUGUUUUGCGUAAAAGCUGCUCUCACAACUCGUGUACCCAUGGGAAGGGAUUGUCCUUGGCGUUCCUGUUUGAACUAUAAACCUGGCUAUUUAAUAAAAUGCUAAUAAAGUGUUUCUGAUUAUCUGUUCUAUUAAUAAAGCUGUGACUGAUCUUA